GAUGAACGCUAGCGGCAGGCCUAACACAUGCAAGUCGAGGGGUAGAAGGAGCUUGCUCCUUUGAGACCGGCGCACGGGUGCGUAACGCGUAUGCAAUCUACCUUUUACAGAGGGCUAGCCCAGGGAAAUUUGGAUUAAUACCACAUAGUAUAUAGCAUUCGCAUGUUUGGUAUAUUAAAGUUCCAACGGUAAAAGAUGAGCAUGCGUCACAUUAGUGAGUUGGUAAGGUAACGGCUUACCAAGACGAUGAUGGGUAGGGGUCCUGAGAGGGAGAUCCCCCACACUGGUACUGAGACACGGACCAGACUCCUACGGGAGGCAGCAGUGAGGAAUAUUGGUCAAUGGACGCAAGUCUGAACCAGCCAUGCCGCGUGCAGGAAGACGGUCCUAUGGAUUGUAAACUGCUUUUGUACGGGAAGAAACACUCCUACGUGUAGGAGCCUGACGGUACCGUAAGAAUAAGGAUCGGCUAACUCCGUGCCAGCCGCCGCAGUAACAC
rnacentral:rRNA from 1 species